UCUGUACAGGUCAACAGAGUAAUGGAGUCCCAGGACAUCACUGUGAAAAUUAAUGGAAAAGUAUGACACUGGAAUGAGACUUUCAAAUAAUUAAAAAGCAGAAAUAGUGAUUAUCAGAGUAGCAGAGAUCUCUUGCAAGGAUAAAAGAGGACUAAAUCAAAAAGGAAAUUCAUUCCAACAGCCCUGUCUGUUAGCAAGUGACAGGAGAAAGGAAGCAAGCCAAUGAAUGCCUCAUAGCCAGAAACACAGAAGCUGGAAGCUCAACCUACCUUUAGCCACAGUCAUUUGGAAAAUACACCUGGGCACAAGUUCAGAUCCCUCUGCAAGCCAACAUGCAUAUUUAGAACUCCUGGAAGACUUUGCUUCAUGAUGACAAGACUCAACUAUUUCAGAAACAGGAACACAGAUGAAGAGGACCUCCUUCAGAUUUGUGUUGGUGAACUACACGUGAUAAACAUUAACAUGCUGUUCAUUCUGAAAUUUCCAAGAUUUUCUUCCAUCAAGCAAGUAUUAUCUCUAAAACAGACAAUAUUAGAACAAACUGGACUGAAAUAUCUUCAUCCAUGACAUUCAUUACCUCCUACAAGCCUUGUGUGCAAAGUGAACUGAAUGUCAGAUGAUGUCAUUUUCAGUUCUUGGUUAUGAUGUACGGCAGCUACUCUGAAGUUGAAGGGCGAGGACCUCAACUCUACAGUUCCUGCACCAGCUAAAUAACCAGAACAGGGUGAAACGCAAGAAAGAAAAAUAAUCUCAAGGGUUUCUAUGCUUAAGGUGUUAAGAAGCAUUUACACUUGUGCUAAUGGCUUAGAUGUAUAAUUACUUUGUACUUUUUAAAUUCUACCUUAAGUUUGCAUAAAGUGGGCUAUUACACAGCAAAAAAUUUCAGUGACAGAAGACUCUUCAGUGACAAAUGAAAACAGAAAUAUUGCCUACAGCUUAUUUAUUGCUAGCUGCAAGAAAGCUAAUGGAGGGAAAGGAAAAACAAAUUUAUUUCUGAAUGAAAGUAUAUAGCCACUGUCUAGGCUUCUGAGAUUUCCUCUGAGCUUCUCAAAGAAAAGAAAGUGUAACUUAACUAAAGCAUUCAAACUUUACUGCAUAUAUAUUCAGUAAUUAAUUCACUGUUAUUAUCCCGCCUUGUAUCAGAAAUGAAGCGAAAGAGGAUAAUCUUUAGUCCUGAAAGCCUUGGCAGCUUAUUGCUUGUUAAAAUAAGAAAAUGAGCCAGAUAUUUGACUUAUUUUUUCUUUUAACCACCCAGAUACCAGUAUAUGUUAGUAUCAUUUCUUCUUCUUGAGGUGCUAAACUGACAAUAAAGCUCUUGCGCAAAAC
rnacentral:lncRNA from 7 species